CUUUAGAAUGGUGGUAUGUCAGGCAAAAGAGAAAACCACCAAGCCUAUUUUAAAAGACUAUUUUAUCCUUGUUGUAAGUGAUAAAUAUAAAAUCAUUAGUGAGCUGCUCUGAUUCAAAAGGGAUUCCCAGGCAAGGAAAAAAAAAAAAAGAGAAAUCUGUAAAGUCAUGGUUGUAAUUCAGAAACAAAUGUGACACAUUCCAGGCAGGAACAGUGAGCUGACAAACAUGCACUUAGCACAGCCAUAUUUUGCCAUCCAUCCAUCCCUCUGCCUGUAAGGACACAUGCCGAAGACAAAAGAGAUGGUAUCCUCAACGGCAGCAAAGACACAUCCCCUGAAUUUUGAGAACUUACCAGAGAACAUCACUAGAUAUAGGAAAGCCAGGAACUUCAGAUUGAAAGAGAUAACCCUUGUCACAGUGUCUGCUUAUCAGAAGUAACAGACAACAAAAUCAGUAAAGGCAUCCUCAUGACAAAGUAAUUUCAUCUCAGAAAUAAUGGUUUUACUUUCACCACUCUUACCAAAGGCUAUCACUGGACGUCACUGUUCUGAAAGGAAGAAAUUAAAAGAAAUUAUAUUAAAAAAAAGUAUGAGAUGGUUCAUAUACAGGACUGGGUUGUAUUAACAAUUUUGUGAGGGCAGCUGUGUUAAAAUCAAGAGAAGGAGAGAAAGAAAUAAAAUAAGCAGAGAUCUACCUAUGUGGCCAAAGAACUGAAGAACAAGUUUGGACUGCAGAAUACCUGCCUCAGCUAUGCAUAGCAUCACUAACCCAAACCCUUCCACCAUCAAGGAACAAGGCCGUCCACAGCAUGAUGACAAGAUCAGUACUGGAAAUUUAAGGUAAAUGUAACUGCUUAGGUCUUCCUCUUACAUCCACCAACGCUGAAGACCUUGAAGAGCACAUAAAUAUAAACAGUUGAGGUGCAUUUU